AUUGAACGCUGGCGGCAUGCUUUACACAUGCGAGUCGAACGGCAGCGCGGGCUUCGGCCUGGCGGCGAGUGGCGAACGGGUGAGUAAUGCAUCGGAACGUGCCCAGUAGUGGGGGAUAGCCCAGCGAAAGCCGGAUUAAUACCGCAUACGACCUGAGGGUGAAAGCGGGGGACCGAAAGGCCUCGCGCUAUUGGAGCGGCCGAUGUCGGAUUAGCUAGUGGGUGGGGUAAAGGCUUACCAAGGCGACGAUCCGUAGCUGGUCUGAGAGGACGACCAGCCAGACUGGGACUGAGACACGGCCCAGACUCCUACGGGAGGCAGCAGUGGGGAAUUUUGGACAAUGGGGGCAACCCUGAUCCAGCCAUGCCGCGUGAGGGAAGAAGGACUUCGGGUUGUAAAACGCUUUUGUUCGGGAAGAAAUCCUCUGGGCUAAUACCCCGGGGGGAUGACGGUACCGGAAGAAUAAGCACCGGCUAACUACGUG
rnacentral:rRNA from 1 species